GAAACUUUCAUUUGUAGAAAAUAUGUUCCAGUUUAACACUGAUGAAUACGAACAGUGUCAGUUAUUCCAUCCGCCAUGUCAUAAUGCAUUAAAUGUUAAUCCCAUUUUUGAUGUUUUAAAAAAAUCCUUGUUGGACAAACCAUGCAUUGGAGGCCUGGGAUAUGCUGUCAGUAGGGUAUCGUCAAUAACAGGUAUAGGUCAGAGAAACCUAUAUAGAUGCCUUGCUGAAAGGGGGAUCAGGAUUAGGGACAAAUAUUCAGAUAUAAAUGUAGAGGAGGUUCCCACAUAACACAAGGCAGUCCGUCAGAUGUCCGACAGAUGUCGGGGUCGGAUGUUGAGUACAUCUUU